rnacentral:lncRNA from 1 species
GGGUUUGUUAACACGUGUACGCCUGUUUUUCAGUUGGUACGUUUUAACAAUGUGUACCGGAUUAUAGUAGACAAAAAUACCCUCAUUUAUCAUGAAUUCUAAGUUUUAAGGUCAAGGAUAUUUAAAUAAUUUUCAUUCUCAAAACUAAAAAAAAAGAAACCCCGAAACCCUUACUCACCUCCCUCAUUCCUCUCAACCCUUUAUCUUUCAUCUCUCUCCCUCCAACAUUUUCUCUGUCAUCCCUACUGUUGUCCCAAUUGAAAAAAAAAUCAGAAACC